UUGACGAACAUAGGGUUUACAUAUUUUAAUAUUUUCGGGGUUACUUUGGAAUCCACAAUAUCUUUUUGCCUCCAUGAUGUCGUGGCUAUCCAAGCCCCAUUUAACCAGGAUCUUGCAAAAACAUGAAUAACGAUUUAUGUAUAUGAAGGACAAUAUCCCGCAGCACGAUUCUGGGCUUCCACUAGAGCACCUGACAUUGGCUUUAGACUCUAAAGAACCGCAAUCGUCUGACGAUCCAUGCCUACUCAUCAUCAACAACAUCACCAUCACCAUUGCAAGCUCAAACCUAAUUUUCGCCAUCUUUGAAAUUUUCUU
rnacentral:lncRNA from 1 species